GACGAACGCUGGCGGCGUGCCUAAUACAUGCAAGUAGAACGCUGAAGGAGGAGCUUGCUUCUCUGGAUGAGUUGCGAACGGGUGAGUAACGCGUAGGUAACCUGCCUGGUAGCGGGGGAUAACUAUUGGAAACGAUAGCUAAUACCGCAUAAUAGUAGAUGUUGCAUGACAUUUGCUUAAAAGGUGCAAUUGCAUCACUACCAGAUGGACCUGCGUUGUAUUAGCUAGUUGGUGAGGUAACGGCUCACCAAGGCGACGAUACAUAGCCGACCUGAGAGGGGGAUCGGCCACACUGGGAAUGAGACACGGCCCAGACUCCUACGGGAGGCAGCAGUAGGGAAUCUUCGGCAAGGGACGGAAGUCUGACCGAGCAACGCCGCGUGAGUGAAGAAGGUUUUCGGAUCGUAAAGCUCUGUUGUAAGAGAAGAACGAGUGUGAGAGUGGAAAGUUCACACUGUGACGGUAUCUUACCAGAAAGGGACGGCUAACUACGUG
rnacentral:rRNA from 1 species